CUCCAGCCUGGGUGACAGAGUGAGACUGUCUCCAGAAAAAAUCCCAAAACAAACAAACAAAACCCCUGAAUUUCCUUGUGGACACCUUUUCUCUGGCAGCCUUUUUGAAUGAGGGCUAUGUUUUCUCCAAUACUAUAUGGCCUGCGGACCGCUCAGCUUUCAUUCCAGUGAAAACAUUCCAGAACAAACUCCGGGUCAAUCCCAGGUGUUUUUCCAAUCAACUCGGGAUGAUUGUGUGUCACCUGCCGCCCAGCUAGAAUGACACCUCUCCAGGCCUCUGACUUAGCUAGAUCUCCACCAUGUGACUCCACCAUAGACUCCAUGCCUUCUUCUUUUGCAAACCCUCGGACACCCAAACACCUACCAAUUUCAGCCCUUUCUGUGCAGGUGCCGGAGCCCAGGAAGCACACAUCAAGGCUCGCUUGCCAGCAGGGUGCUGCCAAUAAAAUGUAGUCACAUGGAAUUUGGAAUGUGGAAAGGAGGUAGAAGUCAUCCUUUCUUCCCCCGUAGCAGCAGGCGUGCAGGCCUCUGGUGAUCAGCUGGACUCCAUACUCCCCCACCAGUCACCAGCCUGGGGACUGUGGGGCUGCAAGGACCUCAGCAGCGGUUUCCCAAGUUUUCUGACUUCUUCCAUCCUCUGGAAAUCAGCUGUGGCACACAUACAAGGACAUGGACAGGAGCAGAUCGGCAGAAGAAGACACAAGCAGCUGGACAUCAAGAGGGCGUGGAGGGGAGCACGCCAGGCAGGCCACCAACCGGCAGAACAGCAGAACGAGGCAGAGUUUGGCUGAGGCAGUGGGAGGACAGCCUGGGCUGCUCAGCAGCCCGGCUCCAGGGGAAAACCUUCCCACUCCACCCCCUUCUGGCUUUCCCCAUCUGCUGAGAGCUACCUUCACUCAAUAAAAUCUUGCACUCAUUCUCCAA